rnacentral:rRNA from 1 species
AUUGAACGCUGGCGGCAUGCUUUACACAUGCAAGUCGAACGGCAGCGCGGGCUUCGUCCUGGCGGCGAGUGGCGAACGGGUGAGUAAUGCAUCGGAACGUGCCCAGUAGUGGGGGAUAGCCCGGCGAAAGCCGGAUUAAUACCGCAUACGACCUGCGGGUGAAAGCGGGGGAGCGAAAGGCCUCGCGCUAUUGUAGCGGCCGAUGCCGGAUUAGCUAGUUGGUGGGGUAAAGGCUUACCAAGGCGACGAUCCGUAGCUGGUCUGAGAGGACGACCAGCCACACUGGGACUGAGACACGGCCCAGACGCCUACGGGAGGCAGCAGUGGGGAAUUUUGGGCAAUGGGGGCAACCCUGAUCCAGCCAUGCCGCGUGCGGGAAGAAGGCCUUCGGGUUGUAAACCGCUUUUGUUCGGGAAGAAAUCCUCUGGGCUAAUACCCCGGGGGGAUGACGGUACCGGAAGAAUAAGCACCGGCUAACUACGUG